rnacentral:rRNA from 1 species
CCUACGGGGAGCUGCAGUGGGGAAUAUUGGACAAUGGGGGGAACCCUGAUCCAGCCAUGCCGCGUGUGUGAAGAAGGCCCUCGGGUUGUAAAGCACUUUCAGUGAGGAAGAACGCCUGGUGGUUAAUACCCAUCAGGAAAGACAUCACUCACAGAAGAAGCACCGGCUAACUCCGUGCCAGCAGCCGCGGUAAUACGGAGGGUGCGAGCGUUAAUCGGAAUUACUGGGCGUAAAGCGCGCGUAGGUGGCUUGAUAAGCCGGUUGUGAAAGCCCCGGGCUCAACCUGGGAACGGCAUCCGGAACUGUCAAGCUAGAGUGCAGGAGAGGAAGGUAGAAUUCCCGGUGUAGCGGUGAAAUGCGUAGAGAUCGGGAGGAAUACCAGUGGCGAAGGCGGCCUUCUGGACUGACACUGACACUGAGGUGCGAAAGCGUGGGUAGCAAACAGGAUUAGAUACCCUGGUAGUC